GAUGAACGCUGGCGGCGUGCCUAAUACAUGCAAGUCGAGCGAACAGACGAGGAGCUUGCUCCUCUUACGUUAGCGGCGGACGGGUGAGUAACACGUGGAUAACCUACCUAUAAGACUGGGAUAACUUCGGGAAACCGGAGCUAAUACCGGAUAACAUGUUGAACCGCAUGGUUCAACAGUGAAAGACGGUCUUGCUGUCACUUAUAGAUGGAUCCGCGCCGCAUUAGCUAGUUGGUAAGGUAACGGCUUACCAAGGCAACGAUGCGUAGCCGACCUGAGAGGGUGAUCGGCCACACUGGAACUGAGACACGGUCCAGACUCCUACGGGAGGCAGCAGUAGGGAAUCUUCCGCAAUGGGCGAAAGCCCGACGGAGCAACGCCGCGUGAGUGAAGAAGGUCUUCGGAUCGUAAAACUCUGUUAUUAGGGAAGAACAAAUGUGUAAGUAACUAUGCACGUCUUGACGGUACCUAAUCAGAAAGCCACGGCUAACUACGUG
rnacentral:rRNA from 1 species